rnacentral:rRNA from 1 species
CCUACGGGAGGCAGCAGUGAGGAAUAUUGGUCAGUGGGCGCGAGCCUGAACCAGCCAAGUAGCGUGAAGGAUGACUGCCCUACGGGUUGUAAACUUCUUUUAUAAAGGAAUAAAGUGAGGCACGUGUGCCUUUUUGUAUGUACUUUAUGAAUAAGGAUCGGCUAACUCCGUUCCAGCAGCCGCGGUAAUACGGAGGAUCCGAGGGUUAUCAGGAUUUAUUGGGUGUAAAGGGAGCGUAGAUGGGUUGUUAAGUCAGUUGUGAACGUUUGCGGCUUAACCGUAAAAUUGCAAUUGAUACUGGCAGCCGUGAGUACAGGUGAGGUAGGCGGAAUUCGUGGUGUAGCGGUGAAAUGCUUAGAUAUCACGAAGAACUCCGAUUGCGAAGGCAGCCUACUAAACUGCCACUGACAUUGAUGCUCGAAAGUGUGGGUAUCAAACAGGAUUAGAUACCCCGGUAGUC